UGUUGGUUCUCCCGCAACACUAACUUGUUAACUCGGUCAGGUCCGGAAGGAAGCAGCCAUGGCAGGUGUCGUGUGUGCCGGGAUGUCGCUGGCAAGA
rnacentral:SRP_RNA from 1 species